GGAGAAAGAGAGAGAGAGCUACAAAAAAUCUUAGUGCAAAGGAAGAUUGAUGGUGUUUUGGGGUUGUAGAUAAAGCCCUAACAUUGGCCAAGGUAUAUGGAAACUUACCAUUGUUUGUUUUCUUAUUUAUUUAUAUGAUGAAUAUGAUUUGCUUUUGAUUAUCUUGGAAGGCCAUGUUGUUCUUAUGCAUGGGGAUGUAUGAGAAUAUGUUUUGCAUGGUGAUAGGG
rnacentral:lncRNA from 1 species